CUGCUCAGUGAGUGGGAGGGCUGGUACCUUCUCUUGUUUCUGAGACCCAGGUAGCAAAGGAGUUUGAGUUUGCAGUUGGAAUCAAAGGCUCUCCAACAAGGAAACAACUAAGUGUGUUCCUGCAAGACCUCUCUUUCCCUAGGGGAAAACAGAGACAUCUCAUCACAGAUAGCUCUAGGUUUGCCUUGGCCAUGAUGUCCAAGUGGUCUGCUUGGUUCCAUGCCUGCGUCUGAGCUGGCUCUGUGGGAGGUGCCAAGCUGCCUUCGACACUGUGCAUGGCACUUUAAAGCUCUCAAUAAAUAUUUUUCAAGUGAAGUCAAUGAAGCAAGAAAGAAUCUCAACUAGUUUUGAGUUUUGGUUGAAGAGAAGGCUCACAGAGGCUCAGGGAAGCCCUCAGGUUUCAUGGGGACAGCCUGAAGAAUGACCUUCAUAUAAUGGCCACACAGCCACUUGGGCCACCGGAGCUCACCGUGAGACACACUCACCAUCUCGUCUUCAUGUCUGGUGCUCCCUUUAGUUUUCUGGCAAGAAGCUAGGGAGAAGGUGACUUGAGCUCCUCGUGUGUUUUGAUCACUCAACAAAGAAGACAAAAGGGCGUUUCAUAACCUGACAGUGGGAGAGCACAUUAAAAAGGAGCUGAGCUGACCUUUGCACUGUCUAUGAAGAAUGAGUUUCCUAAACUCAUCAUAGCAACAAGAUAUAACGGGGGUUAUUAAGCCACUAAAACUUUUUCUGAAUUCAUAUGCACUUUUUCCCAAAUAGAAUGCUGACGACAAAUAAUUUUAUCAAUCAUUAAAGAAGAUCCCUUCAGAACCUCUCCAGGGAAAUACUUGUAGCUUAGUUCUGGUUAGCACGUAAUGCCACAAGAAUCUGGCAUCAUUUAGACCAGCCAUUUAUUCAGAUAUCAAGAGCAAGAGACUGUAACUGAUUCCCUGACCUCUGACUAAAAACAAAUAUAAACAGUUCUGUGGACUAAAUGUUGUUUAUCCUGGGAAGGAUGUGGUUUUAUCACUGUUGCCCACAGUAACUGGUCAGCCCCUGUGUCUCAGAAGGGAGCUGAGAAGGCUUGAAAGGGUACACCUACCUGUCCUGGCUGAGCAAGAGGGCCAUCAGAGUGGAGACCACUGUUCCCAGCCAGCCAGUGAGAGCCCACCAGGGGUUCUGAACAAGAAGUCCUACCAGAAUCAGGAUUCCACUGACGGGGUUGUUGACGAACACCACUUGGGAUAUGCCCCGGAGAAUCCAGUCAAUGAACUGGAGCACCACGGGUUUGUCUGGAAGGGAUGAGGUAAAGCAGAGCUAAGGAAGCUGCCAAGUGAUACUCUUCAACCACAGGCCCACCCUGAGCAAAAUCAGCAAAACCUCCUGGAAGUGAAACAUUUUUGAUAUUUCUUUAAUAUUUCUCUCUCAACCCAUUGUUGCAUUAGUGGCACCCAGAUCCCUGAAAGCCUCUAUCUACUGUAUGCUCAACCCACACUGCCCCUCCUAGAAUCUAAGCUCCUGAAAGCAUCUAAUGCACUUAUUUUCAUGCUUAUAGGUACAAAUUCUGAAGCCAAAGGAAUAAAUUUAAGUUUUAAGUACUGAAACUACAGGAUGAAGCCAGGUGCCUUCUAAUAUGAGCUGGGCCCUGGCUACUGUCUCCAUAAGAAAAAAAAAUGGAGAGGUUUGCAGGUUAAAAGAUAAAAGUAGAAAAAUGGUGAGUAAAGAGAUCUAUAAAAAGUUGGAGAAUAUAACUAAAGGUAUAAGUAGAAGUACCAGGAAACCAUUUCCCCCAAAGCUACUUCUCCUGUCUCUCCAAAAUGUGAAAGGAUAAAUACCUUUAAGCUGGUUGGCAAGUUCUUUCAUGUCACCGGUGACAUAGCCAAGAGCUUUGGGGAA
rnacentral:lncRNA from 10 species